rnacentral:rRNA from 1 species
CGUAGGGUGCAAGCGUUAAUCGGAAUUACUGGGCGUAAAGCGUGCGCAGGCGGUUUUGUAAGUUUGUCGUGAAAGCCCCGGGCUCAACCUGGGAAUGGCGAUGAAGACUGCAAGGCUAGAGUGUGUCAGAGGGGGGUAGAAUUCCACGUGUAGCAGUGAAAUGCGUAGAGAUGUGGAGGAACACCGAUGGCGAAGGCAGCCCCCUGGGAUAACACUGACGCUCAUGCACGAAAGCGUGGGGAGCAAACAGGAUUAGAUACCCUGGUAGUCCACGCCCUAAACGAUGUCUACUAGUUGUCGGGUCUUAAUUGACUUGGUAACGCAGCUAACGCGUGAAGUAGACCGCCUGGGGAGUACGGUCGCAAGAUUA